AUCCUACGGGAGGCAGCAGUGGGGAAUAUUGCACAAUGGGCGCAAGCCUGAUGCAGCCAUGCCGCGUGUAUGAAGAAGGCCUUCGGGUUGUAAAGUACUUUCAGCAGUGAGGAAGGUGGGUAUGUUAAUAGCAUACUCAUUUGACGUUAGCUGCAGAAGAAGCACCGGCUAACUCCGUGCCAGCAGCCGCGGUAAUACGGAGGGUGCGAGCGUUAAUCGGAAUUACUGGGCGUAAAGCGCAUGCAGGUGGUUUGUUAAGUCAGAUGUGAAAGCCCGGGGCUCAACCUCGGAAUUGCAUUUGAAACUGGCAAACUAGAGUACUGUAGAGGGGGUAGAAUUUCAGGUGUAGCGGUGAAAUGCGUAGAGAUCUGAAGGAAUACCGGUGGCGAAGGCGGCCCCCUGGACAGAUACUGACACUCAGAUGCGAAAGCGUGGGGAGCAAACAGGAUUACAUACCCUGGUAG
rnacentral:rRNA from 1 species